CGGCGGACGGGCGAGUAACACGUGGAUAACCUACCUAUAAGACUGGGAUAACUUCGGGAAACCGGAGCUAAUACCGGAUAAUAUAUUGAACCGCAUGGUUCAAUAGUGAAAGACGGUUUUGCUGUCACUUAUAGAUGGAUCCGCGCCGCAUUAGCUAGUUGGUAAGGUAACGGCUUACCAAGGCAACGAUGCGUAGCCGACCUGAGAGGGUGAUCGGCCACACUGGAACUGAGACACGGUCCAGACUCCUACGGGAGGCAGCAGGU
rnacentral:rRNA from 1 species